AGCGAACGCUGGCGGCAGGCCUAACACAUGCAAGUCGAACGAAGUCUUCGGACUUAGUGGCGGACGGGUGAGUAACACGUGGGAACGUACCUUUUGGUUCGGAACAACUCAGGGAAACUUGAGCUAAUACCGGAUGAGCCCUUAGGGGGAAAGAUUUAUCGCCGAAAGAGCGGCCCGCGUUAGAUUAGCUAGUUGGUGAGGUAAAGGCUCACCAAGGCUACGAUCUAUAGCUGGUCUGAGAGGAUGAUCAGCCACACUGGGACUGAGACACGGCCCAGACUCCUACGGGAGGCGGCAGUGGGGAAUCUUGCGCAAUGGGCGAAAGCCUGACGCAGCCAUGCCGCGUGAAUGAUGAAGGUCUAGGAUUGUAAAAUUCUUUUACCAGGGACGAUAAUGACGGUACCUGGAGAAAAAGCCCCUGCUAACUUCGUGCCAGCAGCCGCCGCAGUAA
rnacentral:rRNA from 1 species